rnacentral:rRNA from 1 species
GCCGCGUGAGCGAUGAAGGCCUUCGGGUCGUAAAGCUCUGUUGUUAGGGAAGAACAAGUAUCGGAGUAACUGCCGGUACCUUGACGGUACCUAACCAGAAAGCCACGGCUAACAACGUGCCAGCAGCCGCGGUAAUACGUAGGUGGCAAGCGUUGUCCGGAAUUAUUGGGCGUAAAGCGCGCGCAGGCGGUCCUUUAAGUCUGAUGUGAAAGCCCACGGCUCAACCGUGGAGGGUCAUUGGAAACUGGGGGACUUGAGUGCAGAAGAGGAAAGCGGAAUUCCACGUGUAGCGGUGAAAUGCGUAGAGAUGUGGAGGAACACCAGUGGCGAAGGCGGCUUUCUGGUCUGUAACUGACGCUGAGGCGCGAAAGCGUGGGGAGCAAACAGGAUUAGAUACCCUGGUAGCCCACGCCGUAAACGAUGAGUGCUAAGUGUUAGAGGGUUUCCGCCCUUUAGUGCUGCAGCUAACGCAUUAAGCACUCCGCCUGGGGAGUACG